rnacentral:tRNA from 1 species
GGAUUAGCUCAGAUGGCUAUAGCGUCCCGACUUCAUCGGGAAGGUCAUCGGUUCGACUCCGAUAUCCUCCA